rnacentral:rRNA from 1 species
CCACUAUGCUUAAUUGUAAACAAUGAUGAUACUAUUACAAACACCAUCCGCCAGGGGACUACGAGCACUAGCUUAAAACCCAAAGGACUUGGCGGUGCCUCAGACCCACCUAGAGGAGCCUGUUCUAUAACCGAUAAUCCCCGUUGAACCUCACCACUUCUUGUUUAUCCAGCCUAUAUACCGCCGUCGCCAGCUUACCUCAUGAGAGACUAAAAGUAAGCCAAACGAGUAAUACUCAACACGUCAGGUCGAGGUGUAGCAAAUGGAGUGGGAAGAAAUGGGCUACAUUUUCUGACCCAGAAUACAACGAAAAGUGUCAUGAAAAAACACAACUGAAGGUGGAUUUAGCAGUAAAAAGAAAACAGAGUGUCUU